rnacentral:rRNA from 1 species
CCCAGACUCCUACGGGAGGCAGCAGUGAGGAAUAUUGGUCAAUGGGCGCGAGCCUGAACCAGCCAAGUCGCGUGAGGGAAGACGGUCCUAUGGAUUGUAAACCUCUUUUGUCGGGGAGCAAAAGACGCCACGCGUGGCGUUCCGAGAGUACCCGAAGAAAAAGCAUCGGCUAACUCCGUGCCAGCAGCCGCGGUAAUACGGAGGAUGCGAGCGUUAUCCGGAUUUAUUGGGUUUAAAGGGUGCGCAGGCGGAGGAUCAGGUCGGGGGUAAAAUUGAGGGGCUCAACCUCUGCGAGCCGUUGAAACUGGUUUUCUUGAGUGAGCGAGAAGUAUGCGGAAUGCGUGGUGUAGCGGUGAAAUGCAUAGAUAUCACGCAGAACUCCGAUUGCGAAGGCAGCAUACCGGCGCUCAACUGACGCUGAAGCACGAAGGCGUGGGUAUCGAACAGGAUUAGAUACCCGUGUAA